UGGGGGAUAUUGCACAAUGGGGGAAACCCUGAUGCAGCGACGCCGCGUGGAGGAAGAAGGUUUUCGGAUUGUAAACUCCUGUCGUUAGGGACGAUAAUGACGGUACCUAACAAGAAAGCACCGGCUAACUACGUGCCAGCAGCCGCGGUAAAACGUAGGGUGCAAGCGUUGUCCGGAAUUACUGGGUGUAAAGGGAGCGCAGGCGGACCGGCAAGUUGGAAGUGAAAACUAUGGGCUCAACCCAUAAAUUGCUUUCAAAACUGCUGGCCUUGAGUAGUGCAGAGGUAGGUGGAAUUCCCGGUGUAGCGGUGGAAUGCGUAGAUAUCGGGAGGAACACCAGUGGCGAAGGCGACCUACUGGGCACCAACUGACGCUGAGGCUCGAAAGCAUGGGUAGCAAACAGGAUUAGAUACCCUGGUAGUCCAUGCCGUAAACGAUGAUUACUAGGUGUUGGAGGAUUGACCCCUUCAGUGCCGCAGUUAACACAAUAAGUAAUCCACCUGGGGAGUACGACCGCAAGGUUGAAACUCAAAGGAAUUGACGGGGGCCCGCACAAGCAGUGGAGUAUGUGGUUUAAUUCGAAGCAACGCGAAGAACCUUACCAGGUCUUGACAUCCGAUGCAUAGUGCAGAGAUGCAUGAAGUCCUUCGGGACAUCGAGACAGGUGGUGCAUGGUUGUCGUCAGCUCGUGUCGUGAGAUGUUGGGUUAAGUCCCGCAACGAGCGCAACCCUUAUUGCCAGUUACUACGAAAGAGGACUCUGGCGAGACUGCCGUUGACAAAACGGAGGAAGGUGGGGAUGACGUCAAAUCAUCAUGCCCUUUAUGACCUGGGCUACACACGUACUACAAUGGCGUUUAACAAAGAGAAGCAAGACCGCGAGGUGGAGCAAAACUCAAAAACAACGUCUCAGUUCAGAUUGCAGGCUGCAACUCGCCUGCAUGAAGUCGGAAUUGCUAGUAAUCGCGGAUCACCAUGCCGCGGUGAAUACGUUCCC
rnacentral:rRNA from 1 species